rnacentral:ncRNA from 1 species
AUUCAUACGAUGAUCAAGAGGAGUACAUGAGAAAAAAAGUUUUAGAGAGAAAAUGCAGGGCUGGAACAUUUUCACUUUGACUCAUGGAAGGUAGCUUGGGAGUUUUGUAUUCUGAACGUUAGUAAGAAUACACGGCGCAUGACCGUUAACCCAUGAUUGAGCGGCAGAAAAAUGUUUCUGCAAUUUAGGUGGUACCGCGUAUUUUACGUCCUAGAA